GAGAGCACUGCACUCAGGCAGUGCUGCAGCACGGGGAUGUUGUGCCACCCAUGUUUGUACACAUGCUAGAGCAAAAGUCAGCAUAUCUAACCAUGAGGGCACUCUCGGUCCUUCUGUGGCUCUGAACAUCUGACUUUCCUUACCUCUGUUCUAAUUGUGACAAGAAAGCUGCAGAGCGUGAGGUUGUGAUAAGCACUGGUGUGUACUGCUAUCGUGUGGAUGUCAUGAUGUGUAAGCAAAGAAAUGUAGCAACAAGCAACUAACCCAUGUGGGCUGCCACCCUCCUCACGUUGCCUGCUGAGCAUGGGCAAAGCACGCCUUUGCGAGGGGAUCGGCCCUGUCACACAGAAUUUGCUGAUGCUGCAGCAUUUCCCUGCAGGGAUCAGGCUUGUGGCCAGGUGGAAGGUUUGCCUCCAGAGCACGUGGAACUGAGAAGGAUGCUCAGUGUCAGAGUUUCUGUGGAAUGGGUCAAUAAGCCCACCUCAGAAUGCCAUGCCAAGCAGAUGAGAAGCCUUUGUCAGACAGUUUGGGUCAAGCCCGUCACCUGAUCCCUGACCUACAGCUUGUGGGAGCGGAGCGCAAUGGAUGAAGUCAUCAGUAAAGUGCAAAGGUCACGGGUCCUCGUGGGGAGAGGUGGUUGUGCAAGGAAAACAGCGUAUUCAAAAUAAAUCGUUAAAUCAAAGAUGCCAGCCCUGGGCACGUGUGUCUCUAUGCUGAGUCUGGUGCCUGUGCAGGAGCACAGCAGGGCACGGUGUGGCUGGGUGGCUGCAGGAGCUCUCACGCCAUGGGUUCGAAGUGUAUGGUCACUGCUCAGCAUCGGAGAAGUUAGUGUGCAGUGCUGUGUGCCUUUGCUUCCCUAACCUGGAGGACAAAAGCCUACAGUGGGAAGGAUUUUUCAAAGCAGUGCAGCAGGCAAGCAGAAAAAAGAAGGGAAUUGUGGUGUUGCAGCUAUUCGUUGCAUCUGUUGUAGGUGGAUUGUCGACAAUGGUUGUUAUGCAAACUCUGAGCACUGGCUUCAGGAGCUUCUUGGAAACCUGCAAUGAGUAAUCUUCAUGUUUCUGCCAGGUCUACAAAGAGGGAGGGUGCAGUUUUGCCACAGGGCUGUUCAGAUUUUUUUCCUCCUCUCCCUUUCCAUAUGGGGAAGAAUAAAGUGAAGAAACAACAUUUUCAGAGAAGAAAGACUUGGAAAGAGUUUCUGUUUUCUGGGAGUCUGCUACAGCUGUUAAUUUGUGGAAAACCUCAGUGGAAAGUAAGCAAUAUGGCAGCAUCACUUUACACGAGAAUUCAGUGAUGGCCUUGCUCCAAGCUGUGGCUGAUUUAGGUUCUUGGCUUGCGCAGCCAAAGCUUCAUGUAGUGUCAUGCUUUUUUAUAGAUAAUGUUGAUACAGCUGUGGAAGGCUCUGAUGUUCUUUUUUUUUUUUUAACAUGGAAUUGUCGUCAUUCAAUCAAGCUUAAGUAUUGUGGAGCUGUGAUGUUGUUUGUCUUUGGUUGUUAGUUGUUGGCGGGUGAGUCCGAGACGGGCCGAGAUGUUGUUUGGGAAAAAGAAAAGACUCCCUCCCUUCCUCCCUGCCUUCUCCACAGAAAUGCACACAGACCAUAACUUCCAUCCAAAAAUGCAGGAAUGCUGAGAAAAAUUGGAGCUGGACUCGAACAUUGCGGGCUGGGCUCCCCCACUCCCCGGCCUCUCCAAAGCACGCACGCUCUUCUCUUCCUGUAGACUUUGUUCCUCUCCAGCAUUUGUCAUGCAUAGUUGGUGGCACAUCAAGAUUUUGAAUACUGUACUGAAUGCAACAACCUCUUUUUUUCUUGGAUGGACAUUUUGUUUGCGGGGAAUACAGCAUGGUGCUCAGCUGUCUGGACAGAAAUGAACAUUGAAUGAAAUGAAAUUUUCAGCUAUGUGACAGCUAUUAGAUCAGAGAUUAGUUUUCCAGUAGAAAUGUCCAAUUAUUUAAACCUCUCCGGUAGAUGAAAGAGCUUUUGACAAUCUGUUUUGCUGAAAAGCCCUGCAAUUCGUUUGGCAUAGAUUAGAUGACCUAUUAGAGAUGAGAAAAAGGGAAAAGGAUUUAUAAUUAAUGUCAGCCCAGCUGUUAACUUGGGGAGUAUUGCUGAGUUGUAGCACAAGACGUAUCUUUCAGCUAUUUCUGCAGUGACGAUUCAUGUGUAUAUUGCAACAUGUGUCAGCAGCCUUCUGUACAGCUGUGCUGGGUUGAAGGGACUAGAGUUCCCCAUUCCUAGGUAACGCAUUAGCAUGCACUGCUGCUUCUCCAAGGCCCUGCCUCCUUUUUGAAAGCAGGCUAUUAUGAAUGGGUAAGCCCCAUGUUUUUCCAGUGCUACCUUGUCACACAAUGACUGAUCCGCUCACCUCCGUAUCUCUGGGCUAUAUGACUUUGAGUGUAUCUUCCUUGCCAACUUGGCAAGGUAUCGUGUUUCUUUCCCUGAGGGUGACUUAGGGCAGAAUCCUUGAAUCCUUCAGAGUUUCCUGGAGCAUCUGGAAAGAAGAGGAAAACCAGAGAUGGGCCAGAAAGAGGCAGGCAGAGAAAGAUGAAAGAAUUUGGGGGUGGGAAGUACUUGCUUUUGGAAUAAUCUUCCUCCUAGAUGGCCUAAGGCAAAGUAAUUUACACUUUUUGGUAACGUGCAGGAUGGCCCAGCCCUUGCUCUUAUGAGUAAACAUUUCAAAGGUGCCUGCAGGGCCCUCUAUUUAUGUUUUUAUAAGCUACUUAGUCUCCUUUGAGUCUCGGGCUAUAUCCUCACUGCCAAUAGUGGAGUUAGCUCGAAGUGUAGUAGUGUCUUUUGGAGACACCUGAGCUAGACUGAAGCAGCUCAGCUGCGAGAAGUAGUUUACUCCACAGCAGCGCAUAUGUCAAAGCACUGUACCUGCCCGACGCAUUAUCUUGUCCUGUGCCAACUCUUGUUUCAAGUAAGGCUUUCACUGCAACCCUGCCUUCUCUGCAGCUGCCCACUGAAGCUCAAGGACAUAAAACAGUCACAGACGCUGGGCUUUUAUGAAUGCAGCACCAGGACCAGGCUCAGAAGAUGUUAAGUGCAACCUCAUUUGGCAGUCGCCAGCCUCCCCACUCAGCACCUCUAGUGAUUUUGCUCACCCGAAGCAGUGUCCAUGGGAGGCCCAGGAAGAGGGAGAGGAGCAGAAAGCAGAAGAGCCCUGUUUGGCUGUCUCACAGGAGGAGGAUGGCUUCUCCCACCACACACUGCCUCACAGUGCUCUUGUCCUGGCCUGACCUGACUGUCAUGAAGCUUGCUAUGGAUUUUGUACCUGCGCUCUGACUGUUGGGCUGCAUCAGAACUUCUCUGCUCAAGAGAACCCGUUUGCAUCGCAGCUGUGAGCAAGUCCAGCUUCUCUUGUGACACACAGAAAACUGUGAUUCAGCUCAGGUAGCUCUCUUCGUUACAUGAUGACAAAAGGGUGAUGUGUUGCUGGCCCGCUGGGAGGCCACCCACGGCCCUCAGUGUCCCAGCAUGUUCCUGUGCAUGUGAACAUCCCUGAGGCUGCUUCCUGGAGAUGUCUGUCACAUCACACGGGCCAGUUCCACUACGUGCCAGUGAUCCAUGCUAUGGCUUUGGUAUUUCACUUCUGCUGGACGUACUUUCCAGUGCAUCCUGGGAGCAUGCUUGUAUUGCCGUAACUGCAUCCCAUGGGCACCCCAAAUCAUUAAUCACCAGUGUGCUCUUUUCCUCUUCUGCUGGUUCCAGACGAGUUCCCAGUUCAUAGCCUAGACAAGUCCCAGGCCCUAGCUGGAUGGCACCAACUGGACUGUAUGUCUGGGCACUGCGUCCCACUCAUUUUUAAGGAAAAUUAAGCCCCACCCCGGAGAGUCUGCUCACAGCUCAGGCAGUUCUCUGCUGGACUGGGCUGCCUGGAGCCCGUGUUCUCCACAUCUGAAACCAGACGACCCCAGGAGCAAAGCUCCACGUUUCCAGUCACUGGUUCACAGCCUCUGGCAGUUCCUGCAGGAUGGCUGAAAACAGUGCCAUGGGGCUGGCAGCUUGCCCCCACAGCCAGUGCAUCCCAACCACACCUGCCUUGGACCUGGAGAAGGAAUCCUAUAAUCCCUGUGUGGUCCUUCAGCAUUACCCAGCAUCUCCAUCCCAAACAUUGCGUCUUCCUUCUCCUUCCUGCUCCAUAAUGCAACCACUUAUAUGGAAAAUGAAUCAGCCCUCCUUGGGCAUCUUUCCAAAUGCCCCUCUGACUAAUUCUGCCCAAAACAGCCAGGCUGACCCUGUGCAAUGGCGUGAUCAUGGCAGACAGGACUGGGUCACGUUUGGGUGGAGGAAGGGAAAAACUGUUUUGCAGGCCUGCCCAAAAAUCCUCAUGUUGACUCUGCCAAAACCACACCAAACAUAUGGUAAAUGAAAUAGCUGGCAUGGAGCUGCUUUGGACGGCAGGAGUGUUUCAGCACUGUGGACUGCUCUUUAGCUGUCUUGAAUGUUAUUUACACUGUUUUAAGUAUCUCCACAUUUAAGGGAGAGAAGGCAAAGAAGAGGGCGAUGCCAAUUUUUUUGUGCAUUUGAUGCUUUUUACAUGCACGUUAUUUUUAUAGCCAUGUUAGCACGGUCCCAAUGCUUGCCCUGUCCUGUGGCUGAGAACAGUAACAGCAUUGCAGAAGGUUUCCUCCCCUCUUCGUGUAGCAACAGACUUCGGUGGAAAAGCACACAGAAGCAUUUUCUCUCUCAAAACAGGAGCUGUGCCUAAUUCACCAUAUAAAUGUCCUGCACAUUUCAUGGAGCUGAUGAAAUCAUGUACAGAUGGAAUGCCUCUUAACAAAGGCUUUAUUCACAGGGCAGGUUUCUCUGCCAUGUAUCUUUGACUGUAUUCCAGCUUAUACAGCUAUUCCCAGUGAAUACAUCCAUGGAGCCAGACCAUUUUCUGGGCAGAUACCAAAGGUGGAUGUGCUCAGCUCCCAACACCGCACUGUGGCUUCACUACAAGUCUGAGGCUGGAAGUCAUGCCAAUGAGCAUUCCUUUCCUCACUCUGUAUUGUUCACCUGGACUCAAGCACCCAGUGCCAUUUCCAGGGUUUGUCAGGUACUUUGGAAGAAACACCGCAGGACAACAGAACCUGAGAAAGAGCAUCCAGAGAAGCCAGAGGUCUUCAGUCAUUUGGGAGACGGCCAUAGGAAUGGAGUUGUGGUGGCUACAGCUACAAAAGAUGGAUGAAAAUAAAGCAGCCAAAUGGUGAUGAUCAUGAAAAAAAAAUAAAAAAUAAAAAGUGACUGUUCUUGAGAUCGAGGUAUAGAUUUUUUUUCUUGGAGCUACAGUGGCAGAGUGCCAGCAGGAGAGCUCACCUCCUCACAUAGCAGCUGGCGGGCUGCUGGGCAGCUCUCCACCACCGUUUGCAUGUUUUAACCCUUCCCCAGCCCCAACUCAACCUGUAGCUUCUCCCAUUUGUCCAUAAGCCAUGGCGUCCUGACACUAUUGCACUCUUGAGGGUCCUGUGUAAAAGCAGGCAGGGGCUGCUGGCCUGCUCGCAUGCACACCUUCCCAGUGCUGAAAACUCAACUCCCAAAUCCCCUGUUCAUCCAACAACCUCAUCAUCUAGACAAGGAAAACAGCAGGCUGAUCUAUGCUGCAGAGCACACUUCCUGGCACAGUCCAGUGGUAUUUGCCCAUGAACCCUUCUCUCUGCCUUUCUUUUUUGCCCUUUGUUCAGCGCUCAGUCAGUAACUCCUUAGAAACAACUCGCUAACUGCCCACGCUCAAAACAAGAACAGCAACAACAAAAGGAAUGAUAUAGAGGGAUGACUUCAUCGAGUUUGGAAAUAUCUUCUCAAAUGAAACAUUCCUUUACUCACAUACACAAGAAAGUAUCAAAAUUCUCUGCAGCUGAUGUAAACAGCAGAAAGAAAAAGUCAUCUGGAAGGACAGGAUGAUUCAUACCAAGGACCUGACUGGCAAUAUUCAUCAGUGUUGAAAUCCUCUCUGCAAGAUGACUACAUGCGAAAGCAAAACCAACGAGAUCCCAGCUUUUGCCAUGAGAAGCAUCAUUAACGGCAGAGCAGCGUGGUUAGGCUCCUAAUGCCACAACCCUUGCUCAUGGGAGUAACCCUUGCUCACUCAUCUGACCGGUCGCAGCAAAAAGCCCUGUGUCACCCAGGUAAUGGACAGACCAACAAGAGGUGAAGCGUUGCUGGACCUGGUGCUUACCAACAUGGAAGAGAUUGUAAAAGAGGUUAAGAUUGGAGGCAGCCUGGACUAUAGCGAUCAUGCCCAGGUUGAGUUCAUGAUCCUGGGGAAUGUGAGCCUGGUAACGAGUAGAGUCAGGACCUGAACUUCAGGAGAGCCAGCUUCAGGCUGUUUAAGGAAGUGUUGGAUGAGAUCCCCUGUGAAACUGUCCCUAGGGACAAAGUAACAGGACCAAGCUGGCAGCACUUUAAGGAUGCUUCUCUGAGAGCACAAGAGCUCUCCAUCCCCCAGAAUAAGAAAUGAGACAGAUGAGGCAGGAAACCAGCAUGGCUGAGCAAGGACUUGCUGGUCAGGCUGAGUGGAAAAAAAAAAAAAAAAAAAAAAAAAAAAAGAAAGGAAAAGGAAAAGCAGUGGAAGUGGGGAUGGGUGACCUGAGAAGAAUCUAGAGAUGCUGUCCAGAUGUGCAGGGAUGGAGACAGGAAAGCCAAGGUGCAGAUGGAAUUGAACUUGGUAAGAGGAUGUGAAAAACAACCAGAAGGGAUUCUUUAGAGACACUGUACAGAAGAGACAGGCAAAGGAGAGUGUAUUCCCUCUGAUCAGUGAAAAGGAAGAGCUGGCCUCCUUGGUCAUGGAGAAGACUGCGGUACUUAACAAGUUCUUUACCUCAGUCUUCAUGGUCAGUCAGGCUUCUCAUGUCUCUUGUGUCCCUGAACUUCUAAGUAGGGGUCGGGGAAGCAAAAUCCCUCCCAGUGUAAGAGCGGAUCAAGUCUGAG
rnacentral:lncRNA from 1 species